rnacentral:rRNA from 1 species
UACAGAGGGUGCAAGCGUUGUUCGGAAUUAUUGGGCGUAAAGCGCGUGUAGGCGGCUUGCAAGUCGGGUGUGAAAGCCCUCAGCUUAACUGAGGAAGUGCGCCCGAAACUGCAGAGCUUGAAUACCGGAGAGGAUGGCGGGAAUUCCCCAAGUAGAGGUGAAAUUCGUAGAUAGUGGGGAGGAACGACCGGUGGCGAAGGCG